CUGACUUUUUUAAACCUCCCUGGCUUCUGACUCGACAAAGUUUUGCUUCAUACCACAGCCAAGUAGAAAGAAAGAGGCGUGAAUGCUUUCUUGAACUGUGACUCACACCAGAGUGGCAUUGUGUCCAUGUGCGACUUUUCCGUGUGGAUUGUGAUGCGCUUACCUGCCAGAAUCGCUUUUCCCGGAGUGUAGUAGCGCAACACCUGGACGCCUUCAGUCUGAGGAGCUUUCCUGGAUUCAGGUGGAGACUCCGGCGGAUCUCUGUGUUGACAGUGGGCGGAUACUGGAACUGUCAAGGAAGUUGGGGAUCUUCUAUAUCCAAUAAAUGUUAUUUGUAACCAUGGAAACCCCGUAUCACGACGGUAGUACGUAAGAGAGCAAAGCAAGCCGGAAGCACAGAAAGGGGCGGAUAAAGACUUGUGUCCGUGUACCCAGCUGAACUUUAUAAUGUCCAGUUAAAGCGAAUGAACUUCAACAUCCACCGAGCGGUCAGUGAACGUUACACCGGGUGUGUAGCUGUAGCUGUAGCUGUAAGAGCGCAAAGUGAGAGACUGGCCACUUUUCCCCCACACAACAGAGAAAAAGGGCGGGGCACAGCCUCUCCUCACUGUUUUCCUCCAAACAGAUGAUUACAGCUGAGCGAGGAAAACAGAAAUAGGCUAAAUGAGUCCUUUGUUAUUGUCUGCUGUGAAAAUGGUGCGCAUUUUUAACAUCGCCGGCCAGUUACAGGUCCAGAUAGUCCAACCACACCCUCUCCAAACAAAGAGGCUCGGAGGCACAGACAGAAACCAUCAGUCAGAUAAAUGACAGCUCGGUUACCAAAAUGUCAGAGUCCAGCGGAGGAUGGAAAUUAGAGUGUAGCAAAAAAUGGAUGUAAACCAUGUUUAAAGGUGAAACUCCAUACCCUCUUUGGCAAAACAACACAACAGGGAGGGGAGGAACCCUCCAGAGCAGUUAGGUUUUCUUUUUUUUCCUCCAUUUUUAAAUCAGUUUAGUGUAAGUUACCUUUCAGAGUAGGUUCGUCCAUUUUAGUAUUUUUUUUAAAGCUUAUGUUUUGUGUUAAGUGACAUCCAAAAAGGAGAAACUAAGCAGUUCAGAAUAAACACUUUGAAGGUAUUCACAGUGAAUAAUCACGCGCACCAGUGCCUCUGCGAGCGUGCUGUGUUGAUGAGAAGCAAACACAUUUCCACUCAUGCAUUUUAAUUAUAUCCGUCCACUUUGUUUUCAUAGUCUAGCUCUUAAUUUUUGUUUGAUUCAACUAAAAUGUUUCACACCUAGUGUCUCCUGAUGUAAAAUAACAAUGCACGAACACACAGUGUGUAAACUUUAUUCCUCUUUCUGUAUGCAUGAAUUGUGCAGAUAAAAUAAGCACCUGGUUUGCAUCUUAUUAUUUGCAUUUUAUCUUUGACAAAUCCAGUGCCGGGACCACGACGGGCCAGAGCUCUGUUCAUCACAUGGGGACGCUCACAUGAAAUAAACUCAAUAACUCAUCUUUUGUUACCUUGAGCAGCCUUACCUCAAGAUUUUGGCGUUUAUUCAUCUGCUGUUUUUGCAUUUUGUCAUUUUCUUACAAAAAUCAUUAUGCUUUUUAAGACUACAACAACACACUAUAGACAAUACAUAUUCCAUAAUACUUUGAUUAGUUAGGUAUUUCAAUAUAUUUAAAUUAUACACUGUUUUCAGUACAAUAAUGACACUUGAACCAGCCGGCACCAGGACGUGAGCUAACAUUCCCCUGUUUUCAUCUCGAGCGUGAUGGAGCUUCACCACACUUUUGUUUUUUUCAUUAGUUGGAUGAGAAAGUUUCAUCAUAAGUAACUGGGGUUUUUUUACUCAACAUUAGUAAUACUUCAUAUACUUGAGUGUAACAUGAAAAUUGUGCUCCUGGUUGCAGCAUUAUAGUUUGGCAGCACAUGCACAGUCUACAUUUCGCCUUUCCGUUUUCACUUUCUUUCUUUCUUUCAGCCUUUUUGCCACAACCGUUACCGAAACUCCAAAAAGUCGACUGAUAAGAUCAACCGCUCUGACCCAGCAAAAGGUUUGCAGCCGCAAGGGAGUGGAGAUAUCAUUGAGUGUGUCUUGGUUUUGGUGACGAAUCCCACAAAGGCUUUAGAGGCUACACGCAUACUCCCACACAUACAUACGCACACAGAGACUGUAACCUCAUAAAACAAGUGUUCUUAGUCCAUAAUACAGCAAACAAUUUGUACCUGUUGUGAAAGGACAAAUAAAACUAUUGCACAGUAACUGUCUUUCUAAUCAGAGCAUGAGACAGUUGCAAAAUUAAACAUGAACAAAUGAGCCCGUUUUGUCGCCUCAUCAGAAUGUGUAAGGCUAUGACAGUGCUUUAGGAGUAAGGUGCCCCUGAACUCUGCAGUAAAGUCUCUUCUUCAGUGCUAAAAUUAAAAAGAAAGAAAGAAAAAAAAAAAA